UGCGGAGCAGCGCACACACCGCCGCCCUGCCUGGCGCCGCCGGCGCUGGGCGGGACCGCAGAGCCGGUUGUGUCCGCAGAGAACAGGGGGCAGCCGCGCCGCGGGGCCCCUCUGCGCUCCCCGGGGGGUGGCUGGCCCCGCACGCCCCCUGCACCCGCGGGCGGCGAUGGGGCCCCAGCACACGCCGUUCCCCAGCGAGCGGGAGUCCAGACUGGAAAGAUAGUUUGCUUAGUUUCUCCCCUCCUCAGUCCAGGGCCCCAUGCUGGGAAAACAGGCCCCCAACUUUCUCACCGUGUUGUGCGCGUCUUCAGGGCCCCGGAGCAGAGAAGGGCCCAGCGAGCGCCAAAGGCACUCAGCUGAUAGAGAAGAUAAUUCCAGAGCAAAGCCUCCAAAUACUUGACAAGUCAACCCUUUUGCACCAUGCACCACCUAACGAAGAGAGGGAAGAGCAUCUUUGCGAGCAGGCUGGCUGACCUAGUGAGGAGGGCUUUAAACUAGGUUCACCAGGGGAAGGAGACCAAAGCCCUGAGGAGAACUUCAUAUCGAGCUGGUAACCCCUUUCAUGUAACAAUACUGUGUAUACAAGUGAGAAGAUAUUUCCCCCAGGAAUCUUUCUUUGAACAGAAUGUAAAUAUGGUAAAGAAAUUCAACUCUAUCUGGAGAUACGAUUUAGGGUGUGUUCAGGACAAAUGCAAUGUCAUUGUUCUGUGGAAAGGACAUAGCCCCUCCCUCUGGGAAAGUGGGAGGUGGCCCCUCCCCUCAUAGGGAGGGGAAGUGAGUUGGAGGAAAAUGGGGACUGUUGAGGGACAGAGGCAAGCAGGGGAAGCCUGAGAGAGACACAAGGAAACUGUCUGGGAGUAGCUGAGAGAAAGAGGGUGAAGGGAGGGCAUGGACAGAGGGAAACCGGGACUGAGAGAAACCAAGAGUGGAUGAAGAGGCUGAGACUGGGCAGGAGAGAGACAGACGGGCAGGAGAGGGGCCCUUUAGUUUUAGAGCUGUCUGGUCAAGUCAGCCCAUAUUUGAUGGCAUGUUCCUUGAGCAUCGGAUCCAGUCAUCUCCUAUCACUGCUUCAUAUUGUCCCAGACUUCCAGAACAGGAGAACCAAAGGUCCUUCAGAUCCCAUGGGUCUGGUUUACUGUGUACCUCCGUAAGCAAACACCACUGGAGUCAAGUCCAUCUCUGCAGGAAGUUCUGAGAGGCCCUUGAGGUUCAAAGACUCAUUUGGGCAUUAGACAGCACCUAGUGAAAGAUUGGGAAAAGGGGAACCUUGAACUAAUAAUAAUCUAUACAAUAAUAACCUGUGUAUACAGAUAUAUAUUGAGGGACUGGGUUAUAUAUAGUUAAGUACACUUAGUAAGUUACUGUGUGUGUAUUGAAAUCAUUUUUAUUAUAUAUAUAUUAUUAAUAUAUUUAAUGUUAUUAUAGGUAGAUAGAAUCCAGUUCUGGUUGUUCUGGUUUACAUAAAAUCCCUGUUACGUGGUUUGUUUGUUUAAAAAAAAAAAAAAGUUGUAUUGUCUUACCUACCAUUAAAUCUUUUUUCACCGUGUAACACCCACCCAGCUCUCACCUGCCAAGUAAAUUAUACCACCACUGUGACAGACCAUUAUUAAAUCUUGGUCAAUGGUUUUGGGACGGGGUGACCCUCGACUGUACAGUAUUUCAAAUUAUAACACAAUAACUACUCAGAGGUCAGUUUACAAUAACUUUAGAAGAGGAAUGGUUAGUAUUAAAAACAAAAAGCAAGCUGCCUCUUCCCAUCCUCGAUGUUCUGAGAGAUUAAGGACUUUUAGUAAUGAAGCUAGGAGAUUGUAGCUUGUUUUGAACAUUAACAAAAGCUUCUGGAAUGGCUUCAGGAAGGAACUGUGUCAGAUUUAAAGCUAGUUCACUUUGAUUACAUUUUACCUUUGAUGUGUAGCUUCUGUUGUUUUUUUUAAAUGGAGUUAAGAACUUCCUUUAACCAAGUUCUUCCUGUUUCCAGAUCAAGCUAUUGACUUUUGUAUUCUUUUAAAGCCACUUGCUGAUAAUGGUAUGUUAAAGAUAUUAAGGUAUUUUCGAUUGUGUCUAUAGAAAUUCAGAAAUAAAGUCUUUUGGGAUUGUU